GAUCAUGGCUCAGGAUGAACGCUAGCGACAGGCCUAACACAUGCAAGUCGAGGGGCAGCGAAGAGGUAGCAAUACCUCUGUCGGCGACCGGCGCACGGGUGAGUAACACGUAUGCAAUCCACCUGUAACAGGGGGAUAACCCGGAGAAAUCCGGACUAAUACCCCAUAAUAUGGGCGCUCCGCAUGGAGAGUCCAUUAAAGGGAGCAAUUUUGGUUACAGACGAGCAUGCGCU
rnacentral:rRNA from 1 species